UACAGAGGUGGCAAGCGUUGUUCGGAAUUACUGGGCGUAAAGGGCGCGUAGGCGGCCCGUCAAGUCCCGUGUGAAAGCCCCCGGCUCAACCGGGGAACGGCGCGGGAAACUAGCAGGCUUGAGUUCGGGAGAGGGAAGCGGAAUUCCGGGUGUAGCGGUGGAAAUGCGCAGAUAUCCGGAGGAACACCGGUGGCGAAGGCGGCUUCCUGGACCGACACUGACGCUGAGGCGCGAAAGCUAGGGGAGCAAACGGG
rnacentral:rRNA from 1 species